rnacentral:misc_RNA from 1 species
AAUCUCUCAACCUAUCAUUUUUCAUUAGAACUAUGAUUAGGAUUGGAUUCUGAGCGUUGCUGACUAGUUUACUAGUGGAGCUCGUUUGAAAUAGAAUAGCAAAUGUCUAAUCUUUAAUCGGUUUGACUUGGCGUAAUAAGUAACAUUUCGCUAAGGAUUAUCCUCUGGGUAACCGAAUUUUGUAUUAAUGACUUGCUUCUAAAGAUCAUAAUUUUCUA